rnacentral:lncRNA from 12 species
UCCCAAUAGAAAAGCACCUCAAUCUCCUCUGCAAUUUGUCACCUGCUCAAAAGAUGAAUCUCAACAUUCCCUACCUAGUUGAACCAAAAGAAUUCUGAAGGAGAACCAUCAACACAGUGUACCUCUGAUCUCACAUCUUUGAUUUCAGGUCCCAGGGCCCCUCGGCUUUGCUGACACAUGAGUCUCCUUUAUGUCUUUGCCUCCUUAGCCAAUAUGGAUCCUUCUAUUGGUUCUGGUACUAAUAUCUCUGCCUAGAAGUCUGGGACUGAGUCUCCUUUCAAUUGUGUCACUGGGCUCAAUAUGACAGUUUUAUUAGCCAGGAACUACAAGAAUCUCAGGAGUGCAAGCCAGACCUUUGCUUUGCAAGUUAACAGCUUCCCAUCCCUCAGGUUUGAUAAUAUAUGCUGGCUUUCUGAGGAAUAAGAAUGGAUUAUCAGUACCUGUUGUUUCUAUCUCCAUUUGAAAUUUGGUUCUAAAGGCCAACUGGUGUCUUAUACAAGCUUUAUGUGUAAUUAG